rnacentral:tRNA from 2 species
GGCGAGCGUAGCCAAGUGGUUAAGGCACUGGGUUGUGGUUCCAGCAUUCGCGGGUUCGAUUCCCGUCGUUCGCC